rnacentral:rRNA from 1 species
AACGAACGCUGGCGGCAGGCUUAACACAUGCAAGUCGAACGCCCCGCAAGGGGGAGUGGCAGACGGGUGAGUAACGCGUGGGAAUCUACCCAAUUCUUCGGAACAACUGAGGGAAACUUCAGCUAAUACCGGAUACGCCCUACGGGGAAAGGAUUAUCGGAAUUGGAUGAGCCCGCGUUGGAUUAGCUAGUUGGUGAGGUAAUGGCUCACCAAGG